rnacentral:rRNA from 1 species
CGAAAGCCUGACGGAGCAAGACCGCGUGGGGGAGGAAGGCUCUAGGGUUGUAAACCCCUUUUCUUUGGGAAGAACAAAAUGACGGUACCAGAUGAAUAAGCCUCGGCUAACUCCGUGCCAGCAGCCGCGGUAAUACGGAGGAGGCAAGCGUUAUCCGGAUUUAUUGGGCGUAAAGCGUCCGCAGGUGGCGAUUCAAGUCUGCUGUCAAAGCACGGGGCUUAACUCCGUAAAGGCAGUGGAAACUGAAUAGCUAGAGUGCCGUAGGGGUAGAGGGAAUUCCCGGUGUAGCGGUGAAAUGCGUAGAGAUCGGGAAGAACAUCGGUGGCGAAAGCGCUCUACUGGACGGCAACUGACACUCAGGGACGAAAGCUAGGGGAGCG